rnacentral:piRNA from 1 species
UUGAAAAUGAAAAGUCUGUUCAGG